rnacentral:rRNA from 1 species
GAUGAACGCUGGCUACAGGCUUAACACAUGCAAGUCGAGGGGAAACGACGGGGAAGCUUGCUUCCCCGGGCGUCGACCGGCGCACGGGUGAGUAACGCGUAUCCAACCUGCCUCUGACUGAGGGAUAACCCGUCGAAAGUCGGCCUAAUACCUCAUGGUAUCGUCUGCGGGCAUCCAACGACGAUUAAAGAUUUCAUCGGUCAGGGAUGGGGAUGCGUCUGAUUAGCUUGUUGGCGGGGUAACGGCCCACCAAGGCUACGAUCAGUAGGGGUUCUGAGAGGAAGGUCCCCAACAUUGGAACUGAGACACGGUCCAAACUCCUACGGGAGGCAGCAGUGAGGAAUAUUGGUCAAUGGGCGAGAGCCUGAACCAGCCAAGUAGCGUGCAGGAAGACGGCCCUAUGGGUUGUAAACUGCUUUUAUGCGGGGAUAAAGUGAGGGACGUGUCCCUCAUUGCAGGUACCGCAUGAAUAAGGACCGGCUAAUUCCGUG